ACGGAGGGUGCGAGCGUUGUCCGGAAUCACUGGGCGUAAAGGGCGCGUAGGCGGCCGUGUAAGUCACUUGUGAAAUCCCGGGGCUCAACUCCGGGGCCGCAGGUGAGACUGCGUGGCUAGAGCACGGUAGAGGCGAGUGGAAUUCCCGGUGUAGCGGUGGAAUGCGUAGAUAUCGGGAAGAACACCGGUGGCGAAGGCGGCUCGCUGGGCCGUUGCUGACGCUGAGGCGCGAAAGCGUGGGGAGCAAACAGGA
rnacentral:rRNA from 1 species